AUCUUUGUGCAGCGGCAGUGUUAUAGCUCAUGAGGUUUAUCUGAGGUGUGAUUAUUGCUAAUUGAAAACAUUACCCAAUACCCCGCCUUGAUGACUUGAAACAUCGUUAACUAUGGCAAUUUUUGACAGCUUCCGUUGAGA